CACUGCUGUCGCUGGAGAUAAAGUAGUACUGAUAAAAGUGUUUCAGUGAGCAUCACUGAUGUGGCACACAAGCAUGUAUUGCGAAGACCACGUGUCCUUCAAAUUUUCUCCAAUUCUAUCGUCAGCCUGUUUCUUACUAACUGAUGUAUCCAAGAAACUCAGAUGAUUUUACUGCAAAGGUUGUAUUCUGUUUGUCCAAUGGGUAUUGUUGAUACUGAGACCAGUUGGGUGAAUGUCUCUCGGGUGACUUUUCCAAAUUGCUGUGGUUUUCGCCUAAGGAUUGCCCUGUAUGAUGCUUGACCACGUCUGCAAGCAUUUUGGCAGCUUUUGUUGUCAGUUAUGGAGGUUUUCUGUGUUCAUGCUGCUGAGAUGUGUUCACAGUGAGGGAGGCUCCUCCUGCUUGCAAAUCCCGCUGAGGGAUUGGAGCGCUCCUUUUUGAUUUCUUGCGGUUGCUGUUCCAGAGGAAGUGAAGCGUUAGUUGUUUUGUGGUAGAAAGAUUACUAUUCAGGUUUUUAAGAGGAAGAUUUAGUUAUUUUGUAUCAACCCAAUUUAAGUUGAGGGAGGGAAUAUAUAUAAUUUCAUUUUAUGCA